rnacentral:lncRNA from 1 species
GAGCUGGUGUGGGAGACAACAGUGCCAGGCUAGGCUUGACACAUGGAGAGGGAGACCUCCCUAUGAGUGAGGAGGGUCAGUGAAGGCUUCACAUUUAGGAGGACUCAGCCCUUCAGCCAGACCUUGAAGGGUGGGGAGGAUUUGGAGUGCCAGAAAGGGCCCUGGUGUUUUGGAGUGGUGAGUCACGCUGCCAUUGACAAUCGGAACAGCGAGGAAACUGGGAUCACAGAGGCUGAGUGAGCUCCCCAAGGAAGUUCAGUUUCUGUUAAUGAACUGACAUACCUGCUGGAGGACUGAUGAUGGCUUCCUGAGAUACUGGUGCCCCAGAGGACCUUCAGGUUUGUAUCAGGAAGUACCUUCACUCUUUAGUGUAGUUCAACACAGAGGGACCACUUAAGUCUCUGAAGACAGUGCAUUUCAGAGUUAACUUGCAUAGGCUAGGGGUGGGAGUGGGCAGUUGUUCAAACAGAUUCCUACCCCAGAGUUUUCUCCUCUGUCAGUGGGGCCUCAAAAAUUUGCA